rnacentral:rRNA from 1 species
UUCCGGUUGAUCCUGCCGGACCUGACUGCUAUCGGAUUGAUACUAAGCCAUGCGAGUCAUUGUAGCAAUACAAGGCAGACGGCUCAGUAACGCGUAGUCAACCUAACCUAUGGACGGGAAUAACCUCGGGAAACUGAGAAUAAUGCCCGAUAGAACACUAUAUCUGGAAUGGUUUGUGUUCCAAAUGAUUUAUCGCCGUAGGAUGGGACUGCGGCCUAUCAGUUUGUUGGUGAGGUAAUGGCCCACCAAGACUAUUACAGGUACGGGCUCUGAGAGGAGUAGCCCGGAGAUGGGUACUGAGACACGGACCCAGGCCCUAUGGGGCGCAGCAGGCGAGAAAACUUUGCAAUGUGCGAAAGCACGACAAGGUUAAUCCGAGUGGUUUCUGCUAAAGGAACCUUUUGUCGGUCCUAGAAACACCGAUGAAUAAGGGGUGGGCAAGUUCUGGUGUCAGCCGCCGCGGUAAAACCAGCACCUCAAGUGGUCAGGAUGAUUAUUGGGCCUAAAGCAUCCGUAGCCUGCUUUGUUAGUUUUCGGUUAAAUCUAUACGCUCAACGUAUAGGCUGCCGGGAAUACUGCAAAGCUAGGGAGUGGGAGAGGUAGACGGUACUCGGUAGGAAGGGGUAAAAUCCUUUGAUCUAUUGAUGACCACCUGUGGCGAAGGCGGUCUACCAGAACACGUCCGACGGUGAGGGAUGAAAGCUGGGGGAGCAAACCGGAUUAGAUACCCGGGUAGUCCCAGCCGUAAACCAUGCAAACUCAGUGAUGCGUUGGCUUGUGGCCAAUGCAGUGCUGCAGGGAAGCCGUUAAGUUUGCCGCCUGGGAAGUACGUACGCAAGUAUGAAACUUAAAGGAAUUGGCGGGGGAGCACCACAAGGGGUGAAGCCUGCGGUUCAAUUGGAGUCAACGCCGGG